GCUGGGCAUGGUGGCACACACCUGUAAUCCCAGUGGCUCAGGAGGCUGAGGCAGGAGGAUCUCGAGUUCAAAGCCAGCCUUAGCAAAAGCGAGAUGCUAAGCAACUCAGUGAGACCCUGUCUCUA
rnacentral:sRNA from 1 species